rnacentral:rRNA from 1 species
UAGGGAAUCUUCGGCAAUGGACGAAAGUCUGACCGAGCAACGCCGCGUGAGUGAAGAAGGUUUUCGGAUCGUAAAACUCUGUUGUUAGAGAAGAACAAGGACGUUAGUAACUGAACGUCCCCUGACGGUAUCUAACCAGAAAGCCACGGCUAACUACGUGCCAGCAGCCGCGGUAAUACGUAGGUGGCAAGCGUUGUCCGGAUUUAUUGGGCGUAAAGCGAGCGCAGGCGGUUUCUUAAGUCUGAUGUGAAAGCCCCCGGCUCAACCGGGGAGGGUCAUUGGAAACUGCGAGAGUUGAGUGCAGAAGAGGGGAGUGGAAUUGCGUGUGUAGCGGUGAGAUGCGUAGAUAUAUGGAGGAACACCAGUGGGGAAGGCGGCUCUCUGGUCUGUAACUGACGCUGAGGCUCGAAAGCGUGGGGAGCAAACAGG